rnacentral:tRNA from 2 species
CAGAGCGUAGCUAAAUAGAAUAGCCUCUCUUUUACACUGAGAAGUCAUCUGUGCAAAUCAGAUCGCCCUGA